rnacentral:rRNA from 1 species
CGACGUAAAGAACUUGCCUCACAGCUAGGGACAACAUUUGGAAACGAAUGCUAAUACCUGAUAUUAUGAUUUUAGGGCAUCCUAGAGUUAUGAAAGCUACAUGUGCUGUGAGAGAGCUUUGCGUCCCAUUAGCUAGUUGGAGAGGUAACGGCUCACCAAGGCGAUGAUGGGUAGCCGGCCUGAGAGGGUGAUCGGCCACAAGGGGACUGAGACACGGCCCUU